GAAAAAAUAGAAAAUGGCAGAAAGCAGAAUUUCACGGACUUCGAAUCCGUAGGCCGCAGGUUCGAAUCCUGCCGGGCGCGCCA
rnacentral:tRNA from 1 species